rnacentral:lncRNA from 1 species
AUAAAACAAAAGAACAAGUGACCGGUCAAACUUCAAUUGUUCUUUAUGGGGGGUCGGGCAGCACAGUGAAAAACGCAGAUUGAAACCAGGUUAUUGUACAAAUGUAUUCAGAGAAAUGCCGAGAUAGACUGUCGGGUACAUUUUGAUACACAGAUGAAGGACAACAUAAUGAUGAGAAUACUUAGCAGGCUGCACAUCUGCCUCUCCCCACACAUGAUUGCCA